CUGCUUGGGUUUUCCCAGCCCGGGCCUCUGCCCCAGCCUCCUCCUUCAUGUGAGUUUCUGCCUUCCUGGACCAGGCUCAGCGGCCGGCUCCCCUGCACCCCCGCGAGGCUGCACGGCAGAACCAGCUGCAGAAGAGUCGGACGCCGCCCCGAGGGGGAGGCGCGUGGCCUUCCCGAGGGGCUGAGUGGCCGUUUCCUUGGACCGGCCCCGUGGGGGUGGCUGCGUGCGGCUGGCCCAGCAAAGCGCCGUGAGGCGGGACGGGGUGGACCCUGCUCACAGAAGAGGGCACUGCGAGCCACAGCACAGAGUCUAAGCGGGGUGAAAACCCAAGGCCGCAAGGACGGCAAACGUGGCCGAAGCUGUGCCCACAGACGCCCCACGGUCCCAGCAGCGUGAUGCUCCCGACGUCGCUCUGCCGGUUCUCUGCAGGGCCCCAGACACGCCGCUUCCUCCGGGGAGAAUUCCACCGUGGGCCUGGCCGCCACGGCCCUGCUCCCCGACCGC